CCCUAGUAGCAAAAGUUACUGUAGCAAAGCUGAGAAAGGACAUCAUUUCAAAGAAGGAACACUAUCAGAGCUAUGGCAGUUCUAUCUAGCACAUGGAUUAUUCUGUUGGUUCCUUUGGUACUUCUGCUGUCUGUCUCAGCUACCCCAGUUGGUCAUGGUCACGAGCAUGAUCAUGACCACUCUGAAUCUGGAGAUGAUGAACAUGUUCAUCAAAAUUAUGAUGAUUUCUCAGGCAUUGAAAUCACAGAUUGCCUUGAUGACUGUAAAGAUUUGCUUGAGGGCUGUAAAUCUCCCUGUGGCAUUUAUAGAGACUGUAUCAAAGAGUGUCAUGAGCACUUUGAGCAUUAAGAAGAACCCUAAACUAUUAAGACUAGGUACAAUUAGAUAUUAGGCUUUUCCAAACUAACUUUAAAAUUCUAACUGAUUGUAACCAGGCUGUUGUAACAAUAUUUUGCUUUUUUUCAAUAAUAA